CUGGGUGAAUAGAGGGUCGGUAUUGAGGUCGAGCUUUAUAUCUUGCUAUCGUGGGGCUUGGUUAUGCAAUGCAUCGAUCCGAUGCUGCAUCUCCUGGAGCUUUCUUUCCGCUUUGCCUUCCCAAGUAGGGUGGUGACGAGGAGAAAAGUUGUCCAAUGUAGAAUCUCUCCUUGAUAACGGAGUCGGCGAGCUCCUAUGUCUUCUUCAGGCAGGAUUAGCUAGUCGGCUAAGAUGAUUGGCACUCACCUUUGGGCUAUGCAGGGGAGAAGAUUGGUUGGGCGGUCUGCCCUCAUC
rnacentral:lncRNA from 1 species